rnacentral:miRNA from 17 species
CAGCGCCCCUUCCUCUGCCCACUUGGCCGCCACGUGGCAGCCGAGCGAGGGCCUCGGGGCAGCGC